GGCUUUUAUUCUGAAAGAUUAGGGAGAAUGACAACAUUGAGUGAGUGGACCCUGGGAUGUCCUCAGAGCGACCGAGAGCACGCCUUUCUUGUUUUCCAUUUUAUAUUGACAAAGCUUUUGUCCGGUUGAAAUAUUAUCAAUUAUUUAGGCUAAAAACAACCUGAGGAUUGAUUAUAAACUUCGUUUGACAUGUUUCUACGAUCUUUACGGAUACUAUUUGGAAUUUCCGUCUGCCUCUUGUGACUGCAUUUGAGCCAUUUGAGUACUGAACAAAACGCGCCAACAAAAUUGAGGUUUUUGGAUAUAAAGAGGGACUUUAUCGAACAAAACGAACAUUUAUUGUGUAAGACGGAAUCUUGUGAGUGCAACCAUACGAAGAUCAUCAAAUGUAAACAGUGCAUUGGAUAUUGGAAUUAUUUUGUGAGUGGAGGAACAUGCGAGGGUCGACAACAGGAGGAGUGCCUUUUUGAAGUGAUUGUUUGAUAAUCAGAUGAAAACAUCAUGACUGGUAAAUUGUGUUUAUGACACAAUAAAAGGGCCUGUCAUGGGACGAAGACAUUCCACAAGAUUUAUUCACUAGGUGGAGCCAAUGGAUUCUACAUUUUUGGAGCCAAUAGAGUCUACAUGCCAAUGGACAUCUACAUUUAAUGCUUUAAAAAGUGUAAUAAAUCCAUGUAAUAUAGCCUACACCAUCACAAUAAAUCCAUUAUUUAUCUUAGACAGGUCUAAAGAAACAUGAUAUGAAAAAAAAAG
rnacentral:lncRNA from 1 species